rnacentral:rRNA from 1 species
GACUCUCUCGCUUCACCGCGAUACGAGUCGGCCGUCAGUUCUGCCAGUCUGGCCUUAUUCGUAGGGCCAGAUUCGGCUUGCAUGGGAGUUCUUCGUAGUCGGUGGUUUAACCGCCACCGGCUUGGCGUCUCCUGAAAUACUUUGUCGAGCGGGCUUAGGUCCGCGAGACGAAUUAGCUCUGUGGAUCUUCGUUCACGCCAACACUUUGAAGCCUCUGCGUUUGAACUUUGUUGGCUCGUUCGAUGUCGGAUCGAGCGCGUAUCAGACCCCGUGGAUUAGACCCGGCCCUCACACGGUUCGGUCGAUCUUGGGUACUCGCUUAACGGCGAACGCGCACACAGACACAACAUCCCCCGUUGAAAGUGAUUUCACAUCGUGGUGCGUUGUUUGUGUUCUGUUCGUGUCGCGUUGUGCCGGAGUGCCCGGGUGAAGCCAUUCUGGACCAGAGAGCGAGGACGCUGUUGACGGACUGAUGACGACGUUUCGGCUGGCACUUAAAGUCGAAUCGAGCGGGACACUGUGAGUCGAGCGCUUCACAAACAAAAAGUGUGUGAUCGGAAGGAAGAGCAAAGCCCACUGAAUUGAUUCGAA